UGUUAAUAAGAAUUAAAGCCACUAUAAAGAGAGGCAUAACUCCAGUCCUCCAGGACCAGAAGAGGUGCAAAGAAAAACCGUGGACGCUCUUCUCCAGCAUGGGAGUUUUGCACCACAGUAACAACACUCCCCUCUCAGGCCUCUUCAGACCAGGGGCUCAAAGAUCCCUCAGAUGUCUUAAGACUUACCUGGGUACAGGAGACAGGGGCUGGAGCUUAAGGCAUCGAAGAUUCCAGUGCCUGUACUGUUGAUGGUCGACCCACCUACGGCC